AAACUUUGCAAUGUGCGAAAGCACGACAAGGUUAAUCCGAGUGGUUCCUGCUAAAGGAACCUUUUGUUAGUCUUAAAUUAACUGAUGAAUAAGGGGUGGGCAAGUUCUGGUGUCAGCCGCCGCGGUAAAACCAGCACCUCAAGUGGUCAGGAGGAUUAUUGGGCCUAAAGCAUCCGUAGCCUGCUAUGUUAGUUUUCGGUUAAAUCCAUCUGCUCAACAGAUGGGCUGCCGGGAAUACUGCAUAGCUAGGGAGUGGGAGAGGUAGACGGUACUCGGUAGGAAGGGGUAAAAUCCUUUGAUCUAUUGAUGACCACCUGUGGCGAAGGCGGUCUACCAGAACACGUUCGACGGUGAGGGAUGAAAGCUGGGGGAGCAAACCGGAUUAGAUACCCGGGUAGUCCCAGCUGUAAACUAUGCAAACUCAGUGAUGCGUUGGCUUGUGGCCAGCGCAGUGCCGCAGGGAAGCCGUUAAGUUUGCCGCCUGGGAAGUACGUACGCAAGUAUGAAACUUAAAGGAAUUGGCGGGGGAGCAC
rnacentral:rRNA from 1 species